GAUGAAGAACGCAGUGAAAUGCGAUAAGUAAUGUGAAUUGCAGAUUUUCAGUGAAUCAUCGAAUCUUUGAACGCACCUUGCGCUCCCUGGUAUUCCGGGGAGCAUGCCUGUUUGAGUGUCAUUAAAUUCUCAACCCCGAUCGGAUUUGUUUUCGCAUUCGGAGGCUUGGAUAGUGGAGCGUGCUGGCCCCCUCUCAUGGGUCGGCUCCUCUCAAAUGCAUUCGCGGAAUCGACUUUGGUCCAUUUCGGUCAUCAGUGUGAUAAACGUUGCGCUGUUGGCUAGGAUCGAGGUGCCGCAUACAAUGGUCUUCGGACAAUUUUAUAAACCAUUUGACCUCAAAUCAGGUAGGACUACCCGCUGAACUUAAGCAUAUCAAUAAGCGGAGGA
rnacentral:misc_RNA from 1 species